AGAUCUGAAAUCUUAGUGGGAGUACCUGAGCCAUGACUCCCCACUGUAAGGCCAGAUCAAUAGCAUUGGUGGCCUUGCCUUCAUUUCUGCUGCUGCCCCUAGUUCCUGGCAGCAGCCUGCAGGGAGGCCCACAGGUGGGGUCCAAGG
rnacentral:snoRNA from 10 species